AAUAAGUGCAGUUUUAGCACUGUUCAUGUUCAACAUUUGACCGUUCGUCUUAUUUGAAAAACAAUUAUGAUUAGUAUUUUUAUUAUUGUUAGAUGAUAAUACAUGAAUAGUAUUUUAUAUGACUAAUAUUUUUAAUUUUUUAUAAAUUUUUUAAAUAAGACGGAUGGUCAAAACGCUGUACACGAAUAUCUAUAGCUGCACUUAUU
rfam:Oryza glaberrima chromosome 9 Oglab09_0093_13, whole genome shotgun sequence.